CGCGCAGGGCCUUCUGGACCCGGAGGCCGGGGGAACCGAGAGAGGAAAUUCCUAGCAUUUUGGGGAUUUUGAGCCUGGAAUGUGGACCAAGACAAAAUUAUAGACGGAAGUUUGAUGGCUGGAGCAUCCUUCAUUUACUGAUACGGCAGGUGAUAUUCUUAGUUCACAUGUCUCAAGCCCGAUUGCUUCUCCACCCCGACGUCCACCCUCCUGCCCCUUCCGCUCCUGCAGUCCUGGCCAGCUGGCCCUGCCUCCAGGACCCAGGCUGAGAGAACAGCUCCAUCUGGGACAGGCCAUUCUCAUGAGAGGAAAAAAUCAAGAGCCCUGGUAGAAAUACACAGUGGCUCUUAACAUGACUGCUCAGAUGUGGUGAAAGGCAUAUCCCUUCUAUUGGUCAAAUCAAGUCACAUGAUCAAGCCUGACAUCUGAAAGGCUGGAAAAGACACUCUUCCUACAGGAUGCCUUGUAAGUCACAUGGCAACAGCUAUGAUGUACAGUCUUUACUGACCUGAAACAACUAGACUCCCAUGUAUUUCUCUGCCAAAGAUGGGUUUAUCUGGGAUCAGCAGAGUGUUGCAAUUUGCAUUUUUUUCUUUUUCGGCCACACCUGCCACAUGUGGAAGUUCCCAGGCCAGGGAUCAAACUGGCACCUUAGCAGCGACUCGAGCCACAGCAGUGACAAUGCCAGGUCCUUAACCCAUUGAACCACCAGGGAACUCCUGCAGUUUGUGGUUUUGCAACCAUGGUGAAUCGCCUGCAAUUGUGCACCUGUGCAAAGGAAGGAGACCACUUUUAUAGAGGGGGAAAGGAAGUUGGGAGGGCUUUAGUAAACAAAGUGUCUGAAGCUUUUCAUUGGCUGAGUUGUUACCAAGAAAGAUACUUCUGGUUGGGCUCUGCUUUGGUCACAAAGUGAGAGCUCAAAUAACAAGUGCUGGAGGGGCUGUGGAGAAAAGGGAACCCUCCU